CCUACGGGAGGCAGCAGUGGGGAAUAUUGCACAAUGGGGGAAACCCUGAUGCAGCGCCGCCGCGUGAGUGAAGCAGUAAUUCGUUAUGUAAAGCUCUAUCAGCAGGGCAGAAAGUGACGGUCCCUGCGUAAGAAGCGCCGGCUAACUACGUGCCAGCAGCCGCGGUAAUACGUAGGGGGCAAGCGUUAUCCGGAUUUACUGGGUGUGAAGGGAGCGUAGACGGCAGUGCAAGUCUGGAGUGAAAGGCGGGGGCUCAACCCCCGGACUGCUCUGGAAACUGUACGGCGGGAGUGCAGGAGAGGUAAGUGGAAUUCCUAGUGUAGCGGUGAAAUGCGUAGAUAUUAGGAGGAACACCAGUGGCGAAGGCGGCUUACUGGACUGUAACUGACGUUGAGGCUCGAAAGCGUGGGGAGCAAACAGGAUUAGAUACCCUAGUAGUC
rnacentral:rRNA from 1 species